UGGGGAAUAUUGCACAAUGGGCGCAAGCCUGAUGCAGCCAUGCCGCGUGUAUGAAGAAGGCCUUCGGGUUGUAAAGUACUUUCAGCGGGGAGGAAGGGAGUAAAGUUAAUACCUUUGCUCAUUGACGUUACCCGCAGAAGAAGCACCGGCUAACUCCGUGCCAGCAGCCGCGGUAAUACGGAGGGUGCAAGCGUUAAUCGGAAUUACUGGGCGUAAAGCGCACGCAGGCGGUUUGUUAAGUCAGAUGUGAAAUCCCCGGGCUCAACCUGGGAACUGCAUCUGAUACUGGCAAGCUUGAGUCUCGUAGAGGGGGGUAGAAUUCCAGGUGUAGCGGUGAAAUGCGUCGAGAUCUGGAGGAAUACCGGUGGCGAAGGCGGCCCCCUGGACGAAGACUGACGCUCAGGUGCGAAAGCGUGGGGAGCAAACAGG
rnacentral:rRNA from 1 species